UACGUAGGGUGCAAACGUUGUUCGGAAUCACUGGGCAUAAAGAGCGCGUAGGCGGUUCUGUAAGUCAAGUGUGAAAGACCCCAGCCCAACUGAGGAAUUGCACUUGAUACUGCUGGGCUUGAGUGCAGGAGGGGAGAGCGGAAUUCCUGGUGGAGCGGUGAAAUGCGUAGAUAUCAGGAGGAACGCCAGCGGCGAAAGCGGCUCUCUGGUCUGCAACUGACGCUGAGGCGCGAAAGCUAGGGGAGCAAACGGG
rnacentral:rRNA from 1 species